GACGAACGCUGGCGGCGUGCCUAAUACAUGCAAGUCGAACGCACAGUUUAUACCGUAGCUUGCUACACCAUAGACGGUGAGUUGCGAACGGGUGAGUAACGCGUAGGUAACCUGCCUGGUAGCGGGGGAUAACUAUUGGAAACGAUAGCUAAUACCGCAUAAUAUUAAUUAUUGCAUGAUAAUUAAUUGAAAGGUGCAAUUGCACCACUACCAGAUGGACCUGCGGUGUAUUAGCUAGUAGGUGAGGUAACGGCUCACCUAGGCGACGAUACAUAGCCGACCUGAGAGGGUGAUCGGCCAAACUGGGACUGGGACACGGCCCAGGCUCCUACGGGGAGCAGCAGUAGGGAAUCUUCGGAAAUGGACGGAAGUCUGACCGAGCAACGCCGCGUGAGGGAAGGAGGUUUUCGGAUCGUAAAGCUCUGUUGUAAGAGAAGGAAGGGUGUGAGAGUGGAAAGUUCACACUGUGACGGUAUCUAACCAGAAAGGGACGGCUAACUACGUG
rnacentral:rRNA from 1 species